rnacentral:rRNA from 1 species
GCAAGUCGAACGCACCGCAAGGUGAGUGGCAGACGGGUGAGUAACGCGUGGGAACGUGCCCUUCAGUUCGGGAUAACCCAGGGAAACUUGGGCUAAUACCGGAUACGUGCGAGAGCAGAAAGAUUUAUCGCUGAAGGAUCGGCCCGCGUCUGAUUAGCUAGUUGGUGGGGUAAUGGCCCACCAAGGCGACGAUCAGUAGCUGGUCUGAGAGGAUGAUCAGCCACAUUGGGACUGAGACACGGCCCAA